GUUGAGAGGAAUAUUGUCUGGCUCGAGGUCAUGGAGGAGUAUAAUGGUGAAAUCUUUUAGUGGUGAAGGUUUCCAAAAGGGUAGUUAAUUGGGAUUUAUACCCUCUAACUCUGACCCUAAAUGAUUCUCGGACCAGGCUUUAUUCCUUCCAAC
rfam:Lupinus angustifolius cultivar Tanjil chromosome LG15, whole genome shotgun sequence.